rnacentral:misc_RNA from 1 species
AAAGUCGUAACAAGGUCUCCGUAGGUGAACCUGCGGAGGGAUCAUCAAAGAAUUUAACAUAAAACCCACAAGUGUUUGGGGGAGAAUUCUUUCUCCUCUCAAACACUUUAAACAAACGAUCGCAACUAAAACUAAAUGAUUUGGGAGAGGGAAAUAACAAACAAGAAACGUUUGCCUGAUAAACAUUGGAUUGGAAAAAAAAGAGAAAUAUACAACUUUCAACAACGGAUCUCUUGGCUCUC